AGCUUUUCUUUCUAUAAUGGAUUAUAGGACUCCUUUCAUACUCUGGAAGCUGUGAAGUGGGAACAGUAAAGAAUAAACAGCAUUGUCUAUAAUUAUGUGACACUAGAACUCCAUGAAAGAGUUAUGAGUGAAACCAAAGGGAAUGCAAAGAAAGCUCUAGAAGAAUGAACAUGGUGAUUCUGCUGGAUUUAGUGACUUUCUGGUUUUAAAAUCAUCCAAAUCCCAAGUUAAAGGAGGUACAAGCCCAGGUGUUCACACAUUACCAAAUUACUGCCCUGUAGUUUGGAAGGAAUGAUGAUGGCAUCCUGUUUGUGGUCAUGGCCAGUUGAGUGUGACACGACACCUGUGCAACCCCAGGCCAUUGACAUUUCAGCAAGGCUGUGUAAUUAAAGUGGUAACUCAUAUUAAUUAGAAAUAUGGUGACUUUCAGGAUGCAGCAGAAGCCCUCUGUCUACCUGACUUUCAGUUACAAAUGGGGUCAGAGGAACCCAAUAA